rnacentral:rRNA from 1 species
UACGUAGGGGGCAAGCGUUGUCCGGAUUUAUUGGGCGUAAAGAGCUCGUAGGCGGUCUGUUGCGUCUGCUGUGAAAACCCGGGGCUCAACCCCGGGCCUGCAGCCGAUACGGGCAGACUAGAGUUCGGCAGGGGAGACUGGAAUUCCUGGUGUAGCGGUGAAAUGCGCAGAUAUCAGGAGGAACACCGGUGGCGAAGGCGGGUCUCUGGGCCGAUACUGACGCUGAGGCACGAAGGCCAGGGGAGCAAACGGG